rnacentral:lncRNA from 1 species
UACAGAUAACCUUCAGCAGAUCCCCCUUCUCAUGCGGAUAUUCUCCCAAGUACUUUUUGUUGUAUAAUGAUCACCCCGAACAAACCAUCCCCAUAAAUUUGAACCAGGGUAAUAACUAUAUUGAUUUUCAUUCUUGUUUGUCAUAGUGAGAGGCUUCAGAGGCCUUUCAAAAGUCCAUUGAACCCUUAAAAUCAAUCCAAUCACUAUUAAACCUUACACUACCACCGAAACUUGAUCCCUUCUCCAAAUUUGACACAAACAUUAGCAAAAUCACCACUAAACUGUAACAAAGUAUCGACACAACCUACUAGGUCCCUCAGCCUUAUCAGUUCUGAUCUAUCAAACUUAACUAUAAAAUGCAAUAUCUUAUUUGAAUGAUCAAUGCCUAAUCGGUAAAAAAAAACACAUUCACAAAAUCAUUAUAUUCUAUGUGUGUUUUCACGAUAACAUGAUUAGUAAUACAUAUCUCCCACAUGUGAAUUGGUUCUAUUUGCAAGUAGUUUAUUCCUCCGAACCCAUCUUUACUCUAGUCUUUUAUGCUGGUCGGGAAAAAGUUGAUCCACUUUCACUUUUUUUUUCUUUUGGGAGACAUAUUUUACCUAUAAACAAGAGAGAAAAAAAGAUUACAAUUGAUGUCUGCAUAAUUUAAAAAAAAAUGGUAACACAAAAUUCAAUAAAUACAACAUACUAUAAAAAAAUUCCAAUAGACGACCUAUCUGUUGGAAUAGAUGACCAAUCCAUUAUAACAGAUAACCCAUUGGUUGCAACAGAUGGGUUAGCUGUUGGAAGAAAUCAAGAUAGUCAUGCUGCUAGUUUGAUUACUUCCAACAGGUACUCAAUCUGUUGCAACAGAUGAGUCAUCUCUUAGAAGAACUAUUUUUAUUUAUUCCACCGAGUGAUUCAUCAGUUGCAACAGAUAGGGAAUACAUUACUAGACCAAUUUUAAUAUCUUCUAUCAUAUGUUCCACGUAUUGCAACACCAAUACCACCAAUAGCAACAUCACCAACACCAAUACCAACAACAACAUCAAUAACAGCAUCAACAACAAAGGAACAAACAACAUCGAUACUUCCAAUAAGGCUUUUUAAGUUCUCUGAAUAGAUAACCAAUUUGUUGCAACAAAUGGGUCAUCUGUUGUAAGAACUCAAUCCAAGUUUUAAUAUUUUCAAAUAGAUGACCAAUCUGUUGGAACAAAUGAACCAUCUGUUGGAAUAACUCAAGGUUCAUAACUUUUUUUAUUAUUUAAUAAAAAUAAUGGUUCAUUUAUUCAAGACUUAAAAAACACCUUUCCUUUAAUUUUCUUAAUAAGUAGGAUAUGGGUUAUGGGUAAAUAAAUAAAAACAACAGAUGUAAAUAACUAAUUUAGAUAACUAAUAUAAAAAUAUGAUAUACACAAUUUCAAUUUCGUUAAAGAAAUCAUGAAAAAAUUGAUGAAACAGGUAAAGAAAAAAUGAGAAGGCAAGAAUAAUAGUAGAGAGCCCAGAUUUAUUAGUGAACCAUACCUGCCAUGUCAAAAGCAAAGGAAUUAAAACAUCAAUUUCAGGAAAAUGAGGAGAAAAUACAUAGAUUGAAUGAGAUCCGAAAGGAUCCUCAGGAGAAAAAGGAGAAAAAAAGAGGAGACGAUUGGGAUUACCCUAAAGAGGAGAAAAAAAGAAAGAAGAGAGAGGAUUAGUUUAUGGUUGAAGGAGAGAGAAUUCUAGAUAUGGGUUUAAAUAUUUAUUAAUUUAUGGUGGUGAACACUUUGAGGAGAAAGAGG